UUGAGUUCAAGAAGUACGUGAAACCGUCUGGGAGUAAACGGGUGGUUCCCGAAAGUACGAAAGGGGAGAUUCAGGUCUCGCUGCGCGUCGGGCGGCGCCCGCGAUCAGAGAUGGCGUUCUCGCGGCCGGGGGGCGACCCUCGGUCCGGGAGGGCGACCCUCGGUCCGGGAGCUCCACUCCGCGGGCGCCGUAUUAGUUCCCGACGCCGGAGUGACGCACUUCUCCCCCAGUAGAACGUCGCGACCCGUCGGGCGCCGGCCUAAGGUCCCGGGUGGAGUCUGUCUCGCUGCGCACGACCCCGGGGAUCCCGGCCGGGUGCUCGACGGUACGAAGAGAGGAAGGAGUCGACGCGCCGCUCGUUCGGCGUCCGGCCCUCCGCAAGCGCCCGCGGGAGUCCGAGACUCCGGGCCCGGCCCGGUCUCGCUCCCUCCGCGGGGCUGUUUGCGAUCAGGAGGUGUCCUCGGAC
rnacentral:rRNA from 1 species